UGGUUUUAGGGGUGUUAUGUCUCAUUUAGGGAGGGUAAGUCUGGUUUUAGGGAUGUUCAGUAUCAUUUAGGGAGGGUAGGUCUGGUUUUAGGGGUGUCUGGUCUCAUUUAGGGAGGGUAGGUCUGGUUUUAGGGGUGCUCGGUCUCAUUUAGGGAGGAUAAAUCUGGAUUUAGGGAUGUUAGGGCUGGUUUGGGGGAUGACAGGUCUGAUUUUGGGGAUGACAGGUCUGCUUUUAGGGAGGAUAAAUCUGGUUUUAGGGGGCUUGGUCUCAUCUAGGGAGAGGUUUUAGGGGUGUUCAGUGUCAUUUAGGGAGGAUAAACCUGGAUUUAGGGGUGUUAGGGCUGGUUUGGGGGAUGGCAGGUCUGGUUUUGGGGAGGAUAGGUCUGGU